AGUGAACGCUGGCGGUAGGCCUAACACAUGCAAGUCGAACGGCAGCACAGUAAGAGUUUGCUCUUACGGGUGGCGAGUGGCGGACGUGUGAGGAAUACAUCGGAAUCUACAUUUUCGUGGGGCUUAACGAAGGGAAACUUACGCUAAUACCGCAUACGACCUACGGGUGAAAGCAGGGGAUCUUCGGACCUUGCGCGAUUGAAUGAGCCGCUGUCCGAUUAGCUGGUUGGCGGGGUAAAGGCCCACCAAGGCGGCGAUCCGUAGCUGGUGUGAGAGGAGGAUAAGCCACACUGGAACGGAGACACGCUCCAGGCGCCUAAGGGAAGCACCAGGGGGGAAUAGUGGACAAUAGGCGGGAGCCUGAUCCAGUGAGACCGCGUGGGAGAAGAAGACCCUCGGGUUGUGAAGACCUUUUGUUGGGUGAGAACAGCUGCAGGUUGAGACCACGCUGUAGUGACGGUACUGAAAGAAUAAGCACCGGCUAACUUCGUG
rnacentral:rRNA from 1 species